rnacentral:ribozyme from 1 species
UGCCCAGCAACUCCUAUCCCUACCUCCGCGUGGCACCGGCUGGACUGCUAGCAACCUUAGGGAGAAUCAGGUAAAGCUUUGGUCGUAGGCUGACUGAAAAGG